rnacentral:lncRNA from 10 species
UUUCACACUUAGAGCUUUAGUUCUGUUAUGUCAGUGGUGCUACUUGUGAGAUCUCACAGACCUUACCCAGUCCUCAGGCUUAGGCUAUACUACCGGCCACUGUUAGAGGUGAUGCCUUAUAUUAGCACUGUGCUUAACAGUUUCUCAAAGCUUACCCACAUGCAUUAAUUGCUUUUAAACUUAAGACUCUGAGAAAUAGUCAGGGUAGGUAUUCUCAUUUCAAACAGGCUCUCAAAGUCUAAUGUCAGACAGCUAGUAAAGUAAUUGGAGCUGGUGGGAGGCCCUUAGGAGACUGUUGUAGAUAUAUACAUAGAGAGAGAGAUAGUCAGAUACCAGGUGAUACAAAUUUAAAAUAGUGUUGAGUCAGAAAAAAAUGAGAAAAUAUAAAAUAUUUUUAAUCAUUAUAAAAGCAAUGCAUGUAUAUUUUUUAAACUUCCAAACAAUUUAUAAGUGUAUACAUUAGAAAGUUAAAGCAAAUUCCACCCUUCCUCCAAACACCUUUUCCUAUGGGUAAUUAUUCUCAAUAAUUUGGUGCAUAUCUCUUAUCUUUAUUUUUCCAUACAAGUAAUAUAUAUGUGAAUGUAUGUAUCUGUGUAUAGGUGUGUAACCAAAAUGGGACCAUAUUAUACAUGCUAUACAUGCUGGCCUGCAAUUUAUAUUUUUAUCUUAACAAUGUACCAUGGACAUUUUUUCUUGUCACUACUUAUGGAUCCACCUUACAAUUACUAAUAGCUGUGUUCAUAGAAUAGAUGUACAAUUAACCAGUUCCCUGUUGCCUCAUAGGUAGUUUCCUGUUUUGGGCUAUUUUAAAUAGUGCUGCAAAGAAUAUCUUGGUUUACAUAUGUUGACACACUUGAGUAUUCCCAUAGGAUAGUUUCACAAAAUUGUAAGUGGUAGGUCAAAGUAUAUGCAUUUUAGAUUUCAACAGAUAGUGUCUACGUGCCUUCUAAAGAGGCUGUACCAAUUUACAGUGUAUGAAAGUGCAUGGAAGGUUAUUUUGAAGAAAUAGCUGACAGGAUGUGAAGACUGAUUGGAUUAGGAAGGAAAAGCAGAGUCAAAGAUAACUUCAAACUCUGAGGUCUGAGUGAUUUAAAGAAUGGUGUCACCUUUGACAGACACAGGGAAGUUUGAGGGAAGCAUGGUUUAAAAGGAAAAAAGAGUAAACAUAAAAGGACAAAAGGCCAGAGACAGAGUCUCUAGGCUCCCCAUAGUAAGAAAGCAGAAAGAAAAGCCAUCAAGGGGAACAGAGGAUGCAUAGUCAGAAAUGUAGGGUGACAAAUCUACAAGGAAACAGUUCUAAGGAGAAGCUAAGCCUUGUGACAUGGCAUAGAGGUAAGGAAUAAAACAUGGCUUUGAAUGUAUUCAUCAGAAAAUCACUGGUAGCCUUCAAGAAUGCAGUUUUAUAUUGGAGAAGUGGAAAACAUAGAAAACAAUUUUAAAAAAUGGGAAAGGAUCUUCCAUAAAGAUUAAUCAUUCUAGAAAGUCAGUAAUGAAAGGAAAAGGGAAAAGAAAAGUGAAUGCUGAACAAUAUGCCCUUCCUCCCAUCUGAAGGACAUCACUAGAAAUUCCUAUAUUUGGGUCUUGCCUCUUUUUCAGGUUAUAAGAGGUCUGAUAAACAAAUAAACGGUCCCAGUGCAGUAAGCUCUUGAGCUUUCCUUAGCCUAGAGAGGUCUAAACAGAGCAGGAAUGAAAGAAGGAACCAAUAAUCAGGGGAGAUAGGAAAAAAUUUGAAAGAAGAAUAAGACAGUAAAGACAUGCUUUAACUACUUCAAAUUUUCUUCUUCAAAAUGCCAACCCAAUGAAAUAAACAAUGUCAAUAUACACAAUGCAUCACUACACAAGCAUUAAAAUGAUUUCACAGGCUGGGCAUGGUGGCUCAUGCCUGUAAUCCCAGCACUUUUGAAGGCUGAGUCGGGAGGAUUGCUUGAGGCCAGGAGUUCCAGACCACCUUGGGCAACAUAACAAGACACUAUCUCUACUAAAAUAAAUAAAUAAAUUAAUUAAUUGUACAACUCUCUAUACAUUGACAUGGAAAUACAUACUCUAUAUUUUAGGUUAAAAUAGGUGAUAAAAUGGCAUGUUUGUGUAAUCUCAUGCAUAUAAAGUUAUAUUCAUCUUUGCACUUAAUACUAAACAAUGUCCAACAGAUGUUAACAGUGAUUCCCUGGGUGGUGUGAUUACGGGUAAUUUUUUGUACUCUUUAUUAUUUGUAAUAUACGUGUGAGUUUAUCAUUUUACUGAAUCAAUAAGAGUAUUUUUAACUGCCUUCUUGGCUCCUGGCUUUGGCAAAAGGCAAUCACCACUGGGCUGGAUAAGCCAGAUGGUGGAGAAAAGAUGGGAGUAAGUCCUGAGACUACUUUUUUUUUUUUUUUCUGAAAGAUUGCCAGAACAGAUAAGUCACAACUAGAAGCAGAAACAACCCAGGACAUUUUGACAAGGACAAUUUUUGAGUUAGGAAUCAGGGAUAAAAUGAGAAAUAAAGUGAAACCUAGGAAUUGGAUAAUUGGAUGAAAUAAGGUGAGAUAAGCUUCAGAGAUGGGGCAGAGUUCAGACAUAAAUUGAGGCUGUCUCUGGCACACUGUACCAAGUUCCUUUUUCCCCGAGCUCCCUCUAGAGACAGAAUUUCGCUCUUGUUGCCCAGGGUGGAGUGCAAUGGCAGAAUCUCGGCUCACCACAACCUCUGCCUCCCGAGUUCAAGCGAUUCUCCUGCCUCAGCCUCUCGAGUAGCUGGGAUUACAGGCAUGUGCCACCACGUCCGGCUAAUUUUGUAUUUUUAGUAGAGACAGGGUUUCUCCAUGUUGAUCAGGCUGGUCUCAAACUCCCAACCUCAGGUGAUCCACCUGCCUCGGCCUCCCAAAGUGCCGGGAUUACGGGUGUGAGUCACCACACCCGGCCCCAAGUUCCUGUUUUAAAAAGAUGAAAAUGAAAUGGUUUGUUCUUAUAUCAAAAUGUCAUGUUCCUAUUCCAAAAGAUCCAACCCAUUCCCUAAAAUCAGAUUUCUUGGCUACCUUAUACUGGCAUAUUUUCAGAAAGCCAACAAAACUGAAUACCAGGUACACAUCACAAAAAUUUAAUGAUAUCAGACACUCUCUCCAAGCAAUCCCUGCAGUGUGCAAGUCUCCCAAGGUUGUGUUCAUUUCUCAUGCUUGUGUUAUAAAAUUAUCACUACCUUAGGAAAAUGGAUUUACAAGUCCUAGGAAUUGUUCUUUGAAGGUAUGAAAUACGGCCAAGUAAAGGGACUGUACUGAGACAAAAAUAAAAUCACCUUAGUCAGCUGCCCUAUCUGCCCCUAUUCAAGUAAGUCCUCUAAACGACCAUACUCCCCCCACCCCCACCCACAUGCACACACAUUUCCCAUAUAGCUUGUUGAAAAGUGUUGAAAGAUCUUGGGAGAUAUUUCUGUCCACAUUUGAAAAAUGGAUGCAGGAGAAAACCAGUCAUUUCAUAAUUGGCUGAAGACAUGAGGGGUUAAAGGGAUUACUCCAUCCCAUUAAAAAGGCUCCACUUAAAUAUAAAGAUUUUCUUAAGAUACCCCUUUCACAAAGAAUGAUUUUAAACCUCCUUUCAUUGAUAUUCAAAAGGUAAUAGUCCUGGAAACAGAAUCUCUGCCAGUAGUCAUCACCUGAUGCUUGCAGUAGAUUUGCAGGUAUGUCAAAAACCGUUAAUCAUGUAGGUCUUUGAUUAAUCCACUUUAAUUAUCUCCAUGGUCUAUAUAGCAAAACCAAGUGGAUUUUUAUUAUGAAGAAAGAAUCACUGUAUAAUUGCCAGUGAUGCAAAAUUAAUGAGGAUAACUCAAGUUUUAUGGUAGACUAGCAUAGGAAGCAAAAGCUGUAACAGGUGCUUAGUCAAAGUAAUUUCCAAACUUCAGGACUGAUCUUCCUUUUGCUUCUGAUAAAGCAGAACCACAGCCCUCAAUCAUCAAUUCCUCCAGUUCCACCACAUUGCACAGCUCCUGGGGAUGUUCUUCAUGGUGUAGUCCAUAAGAAUGGAACCUCUUGCAGUUGUAAAAUGUGCACCCUGGAUUAUCCCAGUGGUCCCAGUUGAAUCGCAUGGGUCCUUAAAGCUGUAGAACCUUUCCCAGCCUGUGAUCAGAGACAGACAUGAUGAGAAAAGAAAGGCCAGAGAGAUGUGAUGUUGCUGCCUUGGGAAGGGGGCCUCUAGAACCUCACAGUUCUAAGGCUGGAAGUCAAUGAGCUCAACUGUGUUCUGUGUUGAGUCUCACAAGGCCGAAAUCAAGAUGUUGACCAGGUUAGGCUCUGGGGUACAGGUCCGUUAAGUCGUUGGAAAAAUUCUGUUUUGUUCAGCUGGAGGACUGAGCUCCCCAUUUCCUUUCUGGCUGUCAGCCAGGGGUGCUCUCAGCUUCUAGUCACUCCUUCCAUGUGGACUCCUCUAUCCCCUCAUCUUCAAAGUCAGCAAGAGUGCAUCAAAUCCUUCACAUGCUUCCAAUCCCUCUGACUUCCUUUUAUACUACCAGCUGAAGAAAAUGCUCUGUUUUUAAAGGCCUCAUAUAAUUAGAUUGGUCCCAUCUGGAUAAUCACCCUAUCUUAAGGUAACCUGUAGAAUCCCUUUGUAGAUAUGUCAUAGUAUUCACAAUCUGGGGAUCAAGGUGGGAAAUCUUAUGGAACCAUCAUAAAAUUCAGCCAACCACAAAUGUAACUAUCUAAUCAUGGCUAUGAUGCUUAUAUUUUCCAGAGAGCUAUUGGGCCUAGGUCAGUUCUU